GACAGUGGUUCCCUGAUGAAGGGAUGAAAAGGGAAGUCGGUGCGGCGUUUUACGCUUAGUCCGACACUGCCCCCGCAACUGUGAACGGUUUGUGUUUCAUUGAGCUUUGAGCGUGUGAGCUCAAAGCAGCCACUGGGGUAAUUCUCGUUAUGUGAGAGGUAGCUCUGGGAAGGUGGAUGAAAUGAAGUAGCUUUCGGGCUGCUGUGCCGUAAGUCAGGAGACCUGCCAUGAGA
rnacentral:ncRNA from 1 species